rnacentral:rRNA from 1 species
GAUAAACGCUGGCGGCGCACAUAAGACAUGCAAGUCGAACGGACUUAACCAUUAGUUUACUAAUGGAGCGGUUAGUGGCGGACUGGUGAGUAACACGUAAGCAACCUACAUAUCAGAGGGGAACAACAGUUAGAAACGACUGCUAAUACCGGAUAGGCAGAGAGGAGGCAUCUCUUCUCUGUUAAAGUUGGGAUACAACGCAAACAGAUGGAUCUGCGGUGCAUUAGCUAGUUGGUGAGGUAACGGCCCACCAAGGCGAUGAUGCAUAGCCGGCCUGAGAGGGCGAACGGCCACAUUGGGACUGAGACACGGCCCAA